rnacentral:rRNA from 1 species
UACGUAGGGGGCUAGCGUUGUCCGGAAUCAUUGGGCGUAAAGCGCGCGUAGGCGGCCCGGUAAGUCCGCUGUGAAAGUCCAGGGCUCAACCCUGGAAAGCCGGUGGAUACUGCCGGGCUAGAGUCCGGAAGAGGCGAGUGGAAUUCCUGGUGUAGCGGUGGAAUGCGCAGAUAUCAGGAGGAACACCGAUGGCGAAGGCAGCUUGCUGGGACGGUACUGACGCUGAGGCGCGAAAGCGUGGGGAGCAAACAGG